rnacentral:rRNA from 1 species
UAGGGAAUUUUCGUCAAUGGGCGCAAGCCUGAACGAGCAAUGCCGCGUGAACGAGGAAGGUCUUCGGAUCGUAAAGUUCUGUUGAGAGGGAAAAAGGGUCACCAGAGGAAAUGCUGGUGAAGUGAUAUUACCUUUCGAGGAGGUCACGGCUAACUACGUGCCAGCAGCCGCGGUAAUACGUAGGUGGCGAGCGUUAUCCGGAAUGAUUGGGCGUAAAGGGUGCGUAGGCGGCCUGUUAAGUCUGAAGUGAAAGGUACCGGCUCAACCGGUAUAGGCUUUGGAAACUGGCAGGCUGGAGGACAGGAGAGGGCGGUGGAACUCCAUGUGUAGCGGUAAAAUGCGUAGAUAUAUGGAAGAACACCAGUGGCGAAGGCGGCCGCCUGGCCUGUUACUGACGCUGAGGCACGAAAGCGUGGGGAGCAAAUAGGAUUAGAUACC